GAUGAACGCUGGCGGCGUGCCUAAUACAUGCAAGUCGAGCGAACGGACGAGAAGCUUGCUUCUCUUAUGUUAGCGGCGGACGGGUGAGUAACACGUGGAUAACCUACCUAUAAGACUGGGAUAACUUCGGGAAACCGGAGCUAAUACCGGAUAAUAUUUUGAACCGCAUGGUUCAAAAGUGAAAGACGGUCUUGCUGUCACUUAUAGAUGGAUCCGCGCUGCAUUAGCUAGUUGGUAAGGUAACGGCUUACCAAGGCAACGAUGCAUAGCCGACCUGAGAGGGUGAUCGGCCACACUGGAACUGAGACACGGUCCAGACUCCUACGGGAGGCAGCAGUAGGGAAUCUUCCGCAAUGGGCGAAAGCCUGACGGAGCAACGCCGCGUGAGUGAUGAAGGUCUUCGGAUCGUAAAGCUCUGUUAUUAGGGAAGAACAUAUGUGUAAGUAACUGUGCACAUCUUGACGGUACCUAAUCAGAAAGCCACGGCUAACUACGUG
rnacentral:rRNA from 1 species